rnacentral:rRNA from 1 species
UACGUAGGGUGCAAGCGUUAAUCGGAAUUACUGGCGUAAGCGUGCGCAGGCGGUUGUGCAAGACCGAUGUGAAAUCCCCGGGCUUAACCUGGGGAAUGGCAUUGGUGACUGUACGGCUAGAGUGUGUCAGAGGGGGGUAGGAAUUCCACGUGUAGCAGUGAAAUGCGUAGAGAUGUGGAGGAAUACCGAUGGCGAAGGCAGCCCCCUGGGAUAACACUGACGCUCAUGCACGAAAGCGUGGGGAGCAAACAGG